rnacentral:rRNA from 1 species
GAUGAACGCUGGCGGCGUGCCUAAUACAUGCAAGUCGAGCGAACGGACGAGAAGCUUGCUUCUCUGAUGUUAGCGGCGGACGGGUGAGUAACACGUGGAUAACCUACCUAUAAGACUGGGAUAACUUCGGGAAACCGGAGCUCAUACCGGAUAAUAUUUUGAACCGCAUGGUUCAAAAGUGAAAGACGGUCUUGCUGUCACUUAUAGAUGGAUCCGCGCUGCAUUAGCUAGUUGGUAAGGUAACGGCUUACCAAGGCAACGAUGCAUAGCCGACCUGAGAGGGUGAUCGGCCACACUGGAACUGAGACACGGUCCAGACUCCUACGGGAGGCAGCAGUAGGGAAUGUUCCGCAAUGGGCGAGAGCCUGACGGAGCAACGCCGCGUGAGUGAUGAAGGUCUUCGGAUCGUAAAACUCUGUUAUUAGGGAAGAACAUAUGUGUAAGUAACUGUGCACAUCUUGACGGUACCUAAUCAGAAAGCCACGGCUAACUACGUG